UCUCCUGGUAGCUCAGUUGGCAGAGCGGAGGACUGUAGAUGUUACAACGGUGAUCCUUAGGUCGCUGGUUCAAAUCCGCUCGAGGGAG
rnacentral:tRNA from 1 species